rnacentral:rRNA from 1 species
CUACGGGUCGCUGCAGUGAGGAAUAUUGCACAAUGGGGGGAACCCUGAUGCAGCAACGCCGCGUGGAGGAUGACGCAUUUCGGUGUGUAAACUCCUUUUAUAUGUCAAGAAAAUGACGGUAGCAUAUGAAUAAGCACCGGCUAACUCCGUGCCGGCAGCCGCGGUAAUACGGAGGGUGCAAGCGUUACUCGGAAUCACUGGGCGUAAAGGACGCGUAGGCGGGUUGGAAAGUCAGGUGUGAAAUCCAACAGCUUAACUGUAGAACUGCACUUGAAACUUCUAAUCUAGAGUAUGGGAGGGGGAGAUGGAAUUAGUGGUGUAGGGGUAAAAUCCGUAGAUAUCACUAGGAAUACCUAAAGCGAAGGCGAUCUCCUGGAACAUUACUGACGCUAAGGCGUGAAAGCGUGGGGAGCAAACAGGAUUAGAUACCCUCGUAGUC